ensembl:lincRNA C130060C02Rik RIKEN cDNA C130060C02 gene
GGAGGCGAGUAGAUGCUCUGCAGUGAGCGCGCCUCUGGGUACCAAAAGUGAGGUGCAAUGGAGUGACGACCUGAGAACGGGGCUUGACCUGAGAACUGAGAAGCGGGCUUAGCCUCGAGAAGACUGUUAGAAGCGCUCAACUGUUUAUGCUUCCUCACCGAGAGAAUUCACAAGAAGAAUUUCCCAACACGUAUGCAAACCAGUGUCUUGCUACGUAGCCUGGCCUCUUCUGGACUUCGUCAUCUUCUUUCAGCUUCCUGAGUGCUGGGAUUAUAGGAAGGAAUCACUACAUUCAGCCAGUCAGUUUAAAUAGAGUUCCACCUUUCCCCAGCCAAUGACAAGGCCCAUUAAUGAAUCUCAGAACUGCUCCCACAAGACUGUUCCUUUGUGUGCUCUGUCACACUGAUAUGGCCUUGCCUUUACAUCAACUCAGGAAUAUACAGGCACCGUGCUUCCUGCCUUAUGCUCUUUGCUCCUAGCCCAUGCUGUUGACAGUGUUAGAGUUUGAACCCACAGCCUUACACACACUGAGCAAGCAUGGUGCCACUGAGCUACAUCCCCAGGUCUCAGAAUGUGACUUUUAAAAGCUUCUGCUGCUCAAAGGUCCAAACGCAAUAGGAAGAACAGCCCCAAGAUGGCCGAUGGACUACGACCUCCAGACUGAUUUCUUAGGAAUACAUGGCAAGGAUAAAAAUGGAAGUCAUCUUUUCCCAGGAGGCCUAAUGGUAAGAACCCUCAGGCCAUUUUACUGGGGAAUGUGCUGAGACACUGCUCCUGGACCCUUUUCUCAGAAGAACACAAGACAGAAAGACAUCACUGAGCCCUCUACCAGACACAGCAGGAAAGAAAACGCCUGUCAGCACUAGAGAGAGUUAAUAUUCAAACCAGUAGAAGGGGAAGUUUUCUCAAAUAAAUCCCCUGCAGUCCCCACUUUUCCUGGCCUGAUUUGGAAUCAGCUCAUUUCAUAGUCAUAUUGUCAAUACAAUACCAAGAGACAACAGAAAGGGUGUGAGAACAGACUGUAUGCACUUCUAUGUAGCCAAAGAGAUCUUUAUAUUAGCAUCACCCUCUCCUUUAUGGAUAUUAUAUGUUAUUUUUUUGCUGUAAUCAUGUUUUAGGUUAAAUUUAAACAACUCCAAACUUUU